AACUCAAAAUCAAUUGUCCCGUCAGUCUUCUCGGGAAUCUUGAUCCGCACAAUGGGUUGUGCAAUGGAACAAGACUGAUGAUUAGAGCAUUCCAGGAUAACGCAAUCGAUGCCGAGAUUGUUGGUGGACAACAUGCUGGAAAUAGAGUGUUCAUACCAAGGAUCCCUUUGUCGCCCUCGGAGGACAUUUCACUUCCUUUCAAUUUUAAGAGGAAGCAAUACCCCAUCAGGUUGAGUUUUGCAAUGACAAUCAACAAAGCUCAGGGGCAAAGCAUUCCGACUGUUGGUAUUUACCUCCCAGAGCCUGUAUUCUCCCAUGGUCAGCUUUAUGUUGCACUUUCAAGGGGUGUGUCAAGGCAGACCACUCAGAUUUUGGCCAAGCCAAAUAUAGACAUAGACCCCACUGAAAAAAGCACAAAGAACAUUGUGUACAAGGAUGUAUUGGAGGGAUAGAACAGGUUGGAGGACCACACCAGCUCAUGUGAAAUCGUCUUAUGAGCAGAUAGAGCCAUUUGGGGAUUUUACUUUACAUUUUGUUUCUUAAAAGGCCACUUCUUCUCAUCCAGUCUCUCAUCAGUGUAACAAAUUAUGUUGACGUGCAGGGGCAUGCAAUCAAUUAACUGUUCUCAUAGGUUUUAGGCUGUUUUGUCCGAAAGUUUUUUCUUCAACUGAAUGCACUAACUUAGUGUGGUACCGUCCUGGAUGAUGAAUCCGACAUCUCUGUAUUUCUCCAGGAAAUAUCAGGUUUUGUAAAUACUUUAGUGGUUGCUUGUACGAGCAGCCUAUCUGGUUUAUGGAAGCAUGUUCUUUGUGUCAUUGGCCUGGCUAUUAUCGAUGUUCUUAAUUUGUCUGAUGCCUACUCUCUCUUUUUUCUGAAACGACUCCAUUUUCAACUAAUUUCGCUUGUAGUUAUGCAAUUUCAAAAGCAAAUUUAUAUCUCCACUUUUCACAAAUUUCAUGUAGCAGAACAUAACCUUUGUGUGUAAUGAUAGCCAUAUCAGAUGUUGGAUCCUUUAGUGGCAUUACAGGCUCUGCUUGCUUUGUGAAUACAACUCGCCCAUCUAGAAACGGAGGUUUCAUAUAUGCCAUAAAUAAGACCAUCGGCUUGUUAAAGUUUAACCCUAUCAAAUUAUUAUAAACAUGUAUAAAAAAAUAUAGAAAAGAAACCAUUAAGGGAAUGACAAGGCCAGGUCAACUGAUCUAAAAAUAUUAUAAGUAUGAAUACAUCCCGGGGCACAAAAGAUCAAAGUUAAACUGCACGCGAUGUGCAGGGAUACAGCAAGCACGUUGAUUUUAGUUUUCUUAGGUAUUCUUGCUGAAUCAUUUACCUUUGAGCAUGGAGUUUUAUUUAAUGGCAUUGUAAAGGCUGAAAAAAAAAUUGUCACCUUUUUGUGGAACUUCGGCCAAACUAAAAUAUAAAUGGCAAAGUAAAUUAACAUAAAUAAAAAUAAAUGCCACAUUUGACCACAAUAUCAGAUGCGGUCAUAUAGACUAGACCUUUAAAUUGAGACAUGUGUGAUGGCCAAGUUUUAUUCACUUCCAUCUGUAAAAAAAAGUCUUAAUCAGUUAGGCUCCUCCUUCAUAGAUUUCAUUUGGCCAAGUCAUAUGUGCUUAUGUCUGAGUGGACUAGGUUAGCCCAGUCAGUAGCCUGCAUGCGUGGAUUUCACUUACGCUCCUCCUCCAUAGAUUUCAUUUGGCCAAGUCAUAGGUGGUUAUGUGUGAGUGGACUCUGUAAGCCGAUAGCCGAGUCACUAGCAGGUUGUUGGCUGCAUGUGUGCUUGUGCUACUCGAGCCAUUUGUGAGUGGACUGGGCUACUGCAUGCGUGGGUUACUGGCUGCUGGUCCAUGCAUCUAUGUCUAUUUAAGGGAUUUGUAACACCUUUUGUAGCCAAGACAACAUAGCUGAGAGGAAGAACAAGAAGAGGAGCUGAGUAGCAGCUCCAACAUUUGAUCGAUCUAUUGUCGCCUUGGACGCUGCAAGGAGAGUAAAGUAUUGUGCCGCUUAUAGCCAAGGACUGCAGAUCCGCCGUGUUUUGCAUAGAUAUGGAUGUCGAUGAUGUCUUCAUCAGUUUACCUAAUGGCGCAACCACUGGUAUU